UCUGCAUAAUUUCAGAAGUUUCUCUUCCUUUAGAGUUUUGGCUGCAAUCUUCUGAAUCUGACGUCGAUGAUGAUUCUGAAUUAUGAGGAUUUGAAAAGGAUGUAGUACUGUCUCCUUCACUAAGGCAGGAUGAGCAAUUAUCAGAAUUGGAAGAGCUGCUUUGUGAUAAACUCAAAGUCCUCUGAGAUGAAGACCUCGGCAUCAGACAUGAUUCAACUUCAUCAUCUUCAGCCACUUGUUUCACAUAACGAAGUGAUUUAUCUUCUAAGUGAAAACCACUUGCACAAUUGCUUUUUGUUUCGGAACUAGACUUUCUUAAUUCUUGUAUUCCCUUUUCUUCAUUUAUCUGAAGAGUGCUGGAUACCCCCAAAUCAUUAGAAAUAGAAGGCUCGGGAUGCUUACCAAUUCCAGUGCUCUCAAUCUGGAA
rnacentral:lncRNA from 1 species